rnacentral:lncRNA from 1 species
AGUGAACAAGGUUAAGUUUUCGUGGUCAAGUCCAUAUCUCAGAUACUAUAAGCAAUAGGUCUAGUAUAUUCGGUGUAUGGAAGGACUGUAAGGUGUACAUGUCCAGCUGGUAGGUGUCAUCUGACCUUGACCUCAUUUUCAUGGUUCAGUGGUUAUAGUUAAGUUUUUGUGUUUUGGUCUGUUUUUCUUAUACUAUAUGCAAUAGGUCUACUAUAAUUGGUGUAUGGAAUGAUUGUAAGGUGUACAUGUCUAGCUGACAGGUGUCAUCUGACCUUGACCUCAUUUUCAUGGUUCAGUGGUUAUAGUUAUGUUUUUUGUGUUUUGGUCUGUUUUUCUUAUACUAUAUGCAAUAGGUCUACUAUAAUUGGUGUAUGUAAUGAUUGUAAG